GCCUUCGUGGUGUAGUGGUCUGCCUGCUCGACGCGUAACCGAGAGGUCCGUGGUUCGAUUCCCGGCGAAGGCG
rfam:Stegodyphus mimosarum contig92567, whole genome shotgun sequence.